rnacentral:rRNA from 1 species
AAAGGGUGCGUAGGCGGGUAGGUAAGUCAGUGGUGAAAUCCUGGAGCUCAACUGUAGAACUGCCAUUGAUACUGUAGAUCUUGAAUUCGGUCGAAGUGGGCGGAAUAUGACAUGUAGCGGUGAAAUGCUUAGAUAUGUCAUAGAACACCGAUAGCGAAGGCAGCUCACUAGGCCUGGAUUGACGCUCAGGGACGAAAGCGUGGGGAGCAAACAGGAUUAGAUACCCCAGU